GCUGUGGCUCAGUGGAAGAGCAUCUGCUUUGCAUUAAAAAGUCCCAGGUUCGAUCCCCAGCAGGGACA